AGGGGAAUCCAGGAACAACAAUUUUAACUUCUGUAGCUGAUUAAUUUUCAAACUGUGAUACCAGAAUAGUCUUCUGCAAAUUUUCCCAAGCAGACAGGUGUCUGGCAUAAAUACCCUUGAAGUUGGCAGGCUCAGCAUAGAGGUCAUCGAUUAAAUGUACACGGAAAGUGAACUGUCCCUUGAGCCGCUGAAGUGGUUAUUUCAGGUCAGGGAUGAGACAUAUUGGCAAGCCUGAAGACACUGCUGCAAACCCUGCUGCCAAUAUGAAUGAAUUACAGGAACAAUGCAUGACUUAACUGGAUAAGAACAGCAAACACACAAAGAAAAAUCUUGGAACAGCUUGGAGAUUGUCCAAAUGUGGGGAACACUACUAAAGAAAAUCCUAAAGAAAAUUGUGACAUGAGCAUGACAGCAGUUUGAUUUAACAAAUGAACAUACCUGGGGAAACUUUAGAAGGGAAGGGUUGAAAGA